CUGUGUGCUCAGAGGCGCAUCCACCCUCAGUGGCCAAGCCUGGUGUCAAUUUAAAAUCUGAACACCUAUUGGCCUCUGGCCACUCCAUUCCCAGAAAACCUGUUUCCUGUAAACCCACCACACCUAUAAAAGCAGGAUGGCCUCAGCUGUGCUCCUUUCUGAGCUUCUCCACGUGGGAUUUUCCUCCUUUCUGCAGGAAUUGUGCUCUCCCAGUACCUGAAAAGCAGCGGCAGCACUUGAGAGCAGAAAUGAGAGGCCCUGGCAGGACUACAAAGGGCUCCGGAGGAGCAGGUACGCCGGGGAUGAGGUCAGAUUCUGCCCUGAUUUACACCCCAUAACCUGGCAGCAGCUAAAGUUUUGCAGACAACCCAACGAGAUAAUCAUCACAUGCUGGCAAUCACUUGCCAUCAAUUAUCCCCACGCUGUUGCUGUCAGUGGAUCACAGCCCCUACCUGGUGGGAGUCACUGCUGGUGCCAC